rnacentral:lncRNA from 1 species
UCUGGGACAUUUUUGGGACAUUUUUGGGGUGUUUUGGGUGUCCCAGGGCACGAAGGCGCAGUACCUGGCGGGUUUUGGUGUGGAUUUGGGGAUGUUUUUUGGGACAUUUCUGGGAUAUUUUUGGGACAUUUUUGGGAUAUUUCUGGGAUGAUUUUGGGACAUUUUUGGGAUAUUUUUGGGAUGAUUUUGGGAUAUUUUUGGGAUGAUUUCUGGGAUAUUUUUGGGAUAUUUCUGGGAUGAUUUCUGGGAUAUUUUUGGGACGUUUUUGGGAUAUUUUUGGGAUGAUUUUGGGACGAUUUUGGGGUGUUUUCGGGGUGUCCCAGGGCACGAAGGCGCAGUACCUGGCGGCCAAGGCCCUCAAGAAGCAAUCCUGGCGCUUCCACACCAAGUACAUGAUGUGGUUCCAGCGGCACGAGGAGCCCAAAACCAUCACGGACGAGUUCGAGCAGGGCACUUACAUCUACUUCGACUACGAGAAGUGGGGGCAGCGCAAGAAGGAAGGCUUCACCUUCGAGUAUCGUUACCUGGAGGACCGAGACCUGCAGUGAGGGGACCCAAAAUCCCCCAAAAUCAACCCAAAAAUCCCCCCCAAACCCCCUGCAUGCUUUUUGGGGGGGGGGUCAGAACCAGCUUCACCCCAAAUUUCCCCCUCUCGGUGCUGCCGAAUUUUUGGGGGGGUUAAGGGUUGAAAAACCACCGAAAAACCACCAAAAAACCACCAAAAAAAGGAAAUUUUGGGGGGAUUUUUUGGGUUUUUUUGGGGUUUUUUUGGGGUCCCCCCCCUGGGGGUUUUUUUUUUUUCUCUUCCCCCCCACCACCACCCUCAGCAGUUGAUAUUUUUUCGUAAAGUUAUUUUCAUUUUUGGAAAAUAUUUAUGAAUAAAUAGUUUUAUAUCAGAGCUCGUCGUUGGGGG